rnacentral:rRNA from 1 species
AUGCUCUCCAAAGCGGCUCGAUGUGGACACAUUAUUCCUGUGGUCUCUCACCUACUUCCAGAAGGGGUCUCUCAUUUGCAAUAUGCGGAUGACACAAUCAUCUUGGUAGAGUUGGACAAUGCCUGUAUUGCCAAUCUGAAAUUUAUUCUGUUGUGCUUCGAAGAUGUUUCUGGUCUUAAGAUCAAUUUCGCCAAGAGUGAGGUUAUGGUGACGGGGGUUGACCGGGCGGAGGCCUUGCGGGUGGCCAGACUCCUCAACUGCUCCUUAGGUUCCUUUCCUUUCAAAUAUUUAGGUCUUCCUAUCUCUCCUGGUCUGCUUCACGCGAAAGACUUCGCUCCGGUGGUUGCUAAAGUGGGGAAUAGGGUGCUUCCUUGGAGGGGUAGGUAUAAUACCAAUGCUGGCAAAGUGGCUCUAAUCAAUUCUUGCUUAUCCUCUCUCCCGUUGUUCCUUAUGGGCUUUUACCGUCUCACGGAUGGUGUGCAUGCUGGCUUCGACAAACAUAGGGGUGGCUUUUAUUGGAAUUCUGCAGAUAACAAAAGGAAGUAUAGGUUGGUUAAGUGGCAGCUUAUGUGCAAGCCUAAAAACCUUGGGGGGUUAGGCAUUAUUAAUACUCGGGUGAUGAAUAUUUGUCUGCUCAUUAAGUGGUGGUGGAAAAUUAUGACGGUUGGGGCCGAUGUGCUGUGGUUUUCGAUUCUUAAGGCUAAAUAUUUUCCUAACUCCAACCCUAUGUUUGCCCCUGCGCGGCAUGGUUCACAGUUUUGGAAAGCCCUUGUUAAAGUUCGGCCGAUUUUUUUGGAGCAUGUUAAGUUUUGUGUGGGUAAUGGGUCUGCUGUUCGUUUUUGGUUAGAUUGGUGGUCCGGGGAUGCUCCCCUGGCUGUUAGCUUUCCAGUUCUGUUCUCUUAUUGCCCCAAUCCGCAAAUCUCCAUCGCGGAGGUGGCUGCUAAUAAUUGGGACUUGGCUUUUCGUCGGGCCCUGUCUCCUGAAGAGUUGGAAGAAUGA